GUGUCAGCCGCCGCGGUAAUACGAGAGGCCCAAACAUUAUUCGGAAUUACUGGGCUUAAAGAGUUCGUAGGCGGCGUGGAAAGUAGGGUGUGAAAGCCCUCGGCUCAACCGAGGAAUUGCGCUCUAAACUGCCGUGCUAGAGGAAGCUAGAGGUGAGCGGAACUGAUGGUGGAGCGGUGAAAUGCGUUGAUAUCAUCAGGAACACCGGAGGCGAAGGCGGCUCACUGGGGCUUUUCUGACGCUGAGGAACGAAAGCCAGGGUAGCGAACGGGAUUAGAUACCCCCGUAGUCC
rnacentral:rRNA from 1 species